CCGGCGAUGUCCGAAUGGGGAAACCCAGUGCAAUUCGUUGCACUAUCGUUAACUGAAUACAUAGGUUAACGAGGCGAACCGGGGGAACUGAAACAUCUAAGUACCCCGAGGAAAAGAAAUCAACCGAGAUUCCCCCAGUAGCGGCGAGCGAACGGGGAGCAGCCCAGAGUCUGAAUCAGCUUGUGUGUUAGUGGAACGGUCUGGAAAGUCCGACGGUACAGGGUGAUAGUCCCGUACACCAAAAUGCACAGGUUGUGAACUCGAAGAGUAGGGCGGGACACGUGGUAUCCUGUCUGAAUAUGGGGGGACCAUCCUCCAAGGCUAAAUACUCCUGACUGACCGAUAGUGAACCAGUACCGUGAGGGAAAGGCGAAAAGAACCCCGGCGAGGGGAGUGAAAAAGAACCUGAAACCGUGUACGUACAAGCAGUGGGAGCACCUUCGGGUGUGACUGCGUACCUUUUGUAUAAUGGGUCAGCGACUUAUAUUCUGUAGCAAGGUUAACCGUAUAGGGGAGCCGCAGGGAAACCGAGUCUUAACUGGGCGUUAAGUUGCAGGGUAUAGACCCGAAACCCGGUGAUCUAGCCAUGGGCAGGUUGAAGGUUGGGUAACACUAACUGGAGGACCGAACCGACUAAUGUUGAAAAAUUAGCGGAUGACUUGUGGCUGGGGGUGAAAGGCCAAUCAAACCGGGAGAUAGCUGGUUCUCCCCGAAAGCUAUUUAGGUAGCGCCUCGUGAAUUCAUCUUCGGGGGUAGAGCACUGUUUCGGCUAGGGGGUCAUCCCGACUUACCAACCCGAUGCAAACUACGAAUACCGAAGAAUGUUAUCACGGGAGACACACGGCGGGUGCUAACGUCCGUCGUGAAGAGGGAAACAACCCAGACCGCCAGCUAAGGUCCCAAAGUCAUGGUUAAGUGGGAAACGAUGUGGGAAGGCACAGACAGCCAGGAUGUUGGCUUAGAAGCAGCCAUCAUUUAAAGAAAGCGUAAUAGCUCACUGGUCGAGUCGGCCUGCGCGGAAGAUGUAACGGGGCUAAACCAUGCACCGAAGCUGCGGCAGCGACACUAUGUGUUGUUGGGUAGGGGAGCGUUCUGUAAGCCUGCGAAGGUGACCUGUGAGGGUUGCUGGAGGUAUCAGAAGUGCGAAUGCUGACAUAAGUAACGAUAAAGCGGGUGAAAAGCCCGCUCGCCGGAAGACCAAGGGUUCCUGUCCAACGUUAAUCGGGGCAGGGUGAGUCGACCCCUAAGGCGAGGCCGAAAGGCGUAGUCGAUGGGAAACAGGUUAAUAUUCCUGUACUUGGUGUUACUGCGAAGGGGGGACGGAGAAGGCUAUGUUAGCCGGGCGACGGUUGUCCCGGUUUAAGCAUGUAGGCUGGUUGUCCAGGCAAAUCCGGAUAAUCAAGGCUGAGGUGUGAUGACGAGGCACUACGGUGCUGAAGUAACAAAUGCCCUGCUUCCAGGAAAAGCCUCUAAGCAUCAGGUAACAUCAAAUCGUACCCCAAACCGACACAGGUGGUCAGGUAGAGAAUACCAAGGCGCUUGAGAGAACUCGGGUGAAGGAACUAGGCAAAAUGGUGCCGUAACUUCGGGAGAAGGCACGCUGGUGUGUAGGUGAAGUCCCUGCGGAUGGAGCUGAGACCAGUCGAAGAUACCAGCUGGCUGCAACUGUUUAUUAAAAACACAGCACUGUGCAAACACGAAAGUGGACGUAUACGGUGUGACGCCUGCCCGGUGCCGGAAGGUUAAUUGAUGGGGUUAUCCGUAAGGAGAAGCUCUUGAUCGAAGCCCCGGUAAACGGCGGCCGUAACUAUAACGGUCCUAAGGUAGCGAAAUUCCUUGUCGGGUAAGUUCCGACCUGCACGAAUGGCGUAAUGAUGGCCAGGCUGUCUCCACCCGAGACUCAGUGAAAUUGAACUCGCUGUGAAGAUGCAGUGUACCCGCGGCAAGACGGAAAGACCCCGUGAACCUUUACUAUAGCUUGACACUGAACAUUGAGCCUUGAUGUGUAGGAUAGGUGGGAGGCUUUGAAGCGUGGACGCCAGUCUGCGUGGAGCCAACCUUGAAAUACCACCCUUUAAUGUUUGAUGUUCUAACGUUGGCCCCUGACCGGGGUUGCGGACAGUGUCUGGUGGGUAGUUUGACUGGGGCGGUCUCCUCCCAAAGCGUAACGGAGGAGCACGAAGGUUAGCUAAUCCUGGUCGGACAUCAGGAGGUUAGUGCAAUGGCAUAAGCUAGCUUGACUGCGAGCGUGACGGCGCGAGCAGGUGCGAAAGCAGGUCAUAGUGAUCCGGUGGUUCUGAAUGGAAGGGCCAUCGCUCAACGGAUAAAAGGUACUCCGGGGAUAACAGGCUGAUACCGCCCAAGAGUUCAUAUCGACGGCGGUGUUUGGCACCUCGAUGUCGGCUCAUCACAUCCUGGGGCUGAAGUAGGUCCCAAGGGUAUGGCUGUUCGCCAUUUAAAGUGGUACGCGAGCUGGGUUUAGAACGUCGUGAGACAGUUCGGUCCCUAUCUGCCGUGGGCGCUGGAGAAUUGAGGGGGGCUGCUCCUAGUACGAGAGGACCGGAGUGGACGCAUCACUGGUGUUCGGGUUGUCAUGCCAAUGGCACUGCCCGGUAGCUAAAUGCGGAAGAGAUAAGUGCUGAAAGCAUCUAAGCACGAAACUUGCCCCGAGAUGAGUUCUCCCUGAGACUUUAAGUCUCCUGAAGGAACGUUAAAGACGAUGACGUUGAUAGGCCGGGUGUGUAAGCGCAGCGAUGCGUUGAGCUAACCGGUACUAAUGAACCGUGAGGCUUAACCUUACAACGCCGAAG
rnacentral:rRNA from 1 species